GAGGAAGCCGGUGCGAGUCCGGCGCGGUCCCGCCACUGUGACCGGGGGAGCCCCCGAGAGCCAGACACUC
rnacentral:sRNA from 21 species